UUUACUUUGGAGUUGCAGCUUUAGGAAACUGAGACAUUUGGGUUCUGCAAAAUGUCUCCUAAACCAAUUCAUCUCUAGCUCCCUUGUUUUUGACUAUUCCCCAAGGGCCUGCCUAUUGUUUUAACAUAUUUUGAUAGCCUUAUAACAUUUAUAGCAGCUGAAGUUUGAAAUAUCUACCUGGUUUUCAUUUACUAUUAUUGCCUAUGCUUUUGUUUAUUUAACUGUAAACAUUCCAUAAUAGUCUAUCAUCCUUGAAAAAUGCUGAACAGUUUUUUUCAGAUUGGAAGCCUGUAUUAUAAUUAUUUCCAUAUGGAUGAAUAUAGUGAUCUGCAGUAUAAUUUAUUCAUCUGGAAAGUCGAAACUUCAUUUUCUGAGGCAAAUAUAAGCUCAUGGACUCCCUUGUGGUAAAUCUAGAUGAAUAUUCUCAUUGCUUCAGAAUAUAUCAUGCAUACCUAGUUAAGAGACCUUGCAGCAAAAUUGUCAUUUCUGAAUUUCAUCAGGCAAAGUGUACGUAUUUGCCUUGGCUUUAAACUUGCUAAAGGAGAGAAGCCGAUGUGGGAAAUUUUCUCAGGUGCAGAGACUAGCAGACUGUUAACUAGGGUUGACACGAGUUCAUUUGCUUGUCCUAAAUUACAUGAGUUGGACUCAUUUUGAUGCUACCCAUAUUGCUGCCAGUGUUUUUCUAAUUUAUUUUGAAGUCAUUCACUCUUUUUCAAGCUCUUCUAAAGCAGGAGGUGGGAGUGAGGGAGUGUUACUUUUGACAUCACCUAGACUGGAAUAUUCUACUAUGUUUGACUUGAUAGUUUAAGUACAUACAGCAAAAGGCAAACCACGCUCUGCCAUCAUAUUUGUUUCUUACGCUAUUAUGUUCCCGAGUCAUAAUAUAUUUGCAAGGAUAUUUGCCUUUAGCCUUGGUCAAAUGCCUUGCACGUAGAAUUAAGUGAUUUCAUUAAAGUGCAUUGGAGGAGAAAAAUAAUAUACGACAGGAAGUCUACAAGUAUAAAGAAUUUAGCCAGAAGUUGUGAUGUAAUUUUAAACAAAUAACCUUCAGAAAUUAUCCUGAUAGAUUUAUUGGCACAUCCUCAGAAAGUACCUAAAUUUGUGAUGUGGGCUCCAAUCAUAAAGAGUUUUGUUACAGAAAAUUCUCAAUGAAGUGGCUAAUUUAUUCUUGCCAAUUGCCCAUGGAAAUGGAAUUAAGCCUCGUUAACUUGAAAGAGAAUAGAUGUCCUCCAUGAUGGAGGGGGACAGUGGCCCUGAAAUGGGCAGAUACAGAGUCCUCCAAGGGUAUUUUUCUCACCUGAGGCAGUCAAAGGGAUUUCUAAACAUUACUUUAUAAAUCUUACUUUUUGAUGAUUUUUGAAAUUGAAUUGAGUUGAGCUGAAGCCCUUAUUGCAUUGAAUUUUCAUGCAAGUCAAGGACCAGUGGACAUGAAUAAGAAUUAAAGAGAUCCACAAAUAGAGCCCUGAAAAAAACCCACAUUUUUACAUUACAUUUGGAUACUCUCAUUGCACUGAGACCUGAAUUGUCAUUGACGAGUUUCUCAGUCUUGUCAGUAAUGAUAGCAUCUCUGGGUGCCAGCGAACAGCAAUUUUCUGCAGUAGCUGUUGUGACCGGUUCAUAUUAAGAUGAAAUGUUGUCACGAGACAGAUAUAGGAAAGCCUUAUACUUGCUUCUGUCCAAUGCAAGGGAACUUUUUUUCUCUGCUUGGUCAAAAAGAGAUUAGGAAAGGAUACAUUGGAAUUUCUUAUUGAUUUAUUUGUUUGUUUUUUGUGGUCACACCCGCAACAUAUGGAAAUUCCAGUGCCAGGGAUUGAAUCCGAACUGGAUCCUUUAACACACUGCACUGGGCCAGGAUCAAACCCACCCGUCUGCAGUGAUCCAGACUACUGGGUUGAACUCUUAACCCACUGUGCCACCGCGGGAACUCCGGAUACACUGGCAUUUUGAUUGCAUGAUAUACAUCGUGUCGUUAUUGAACAUAAUAUUUUUAUCAUAAAGGCAGAGUGAAUGAGGUGUACUAUCACUAGUUACAUAGUGUUAAGACUCAUUUGACCAUUUACAGAUAUCUUUUGUGCUUCUUUAUCAGCUAUCAAAGAGGAGCAAAUUUGGUUUAUAUCACGGGUUACACAAGGACUGGAUGAAUGGUUAGUACAGCUUUUCUUGUGAUUUGAGACAUCAUUUGAAGUUCAAGUCAGCUUGGAUGUCAACCCCAACAGCUGAGCUUGCUAUUUGAUUAAGGAAUCAGAGUUGCAUGGAUGGGUUUAUUGGAAAUGGCAGAUGAUGCACUGACAGAUGUCUGCCCUGAAGGUUUGCAAUUCUUAUUCUUUUGUUUCCAAAAUAUUUAGGAUGCAAUAUUUACAUUGUAACAGAAGCUUGUGAAUCUUUAAAUAUAUCGCAUUUAUCAUUAAGGCUACCUAAAGGAUUUUGAAAGCUAGGACAACAGCAGAUAAUUUAGAGCACCAGCAAAAUGUAAACGGAAAUGCUAAGAGGUGUUACUGAAGACUUCGGCAUAUUACCUUCUCCAAUGAAACGUAAUAUACAUGAACCUCAAAUAAUAUAUUGAGAUACAGAUGAAAGCUGGCUAUCCAAUUAAUAAUGAAGCAUUUGGAACUUUUUUCCCUUGAGGACUCUAGAAGUUUUUAAAUGUGAUUACAAAUACAAAGACUUUUAAAAAAUUUCUUAAAAGAAAAGAAACAUCUUUUUAGGGCUGUACCGGCAGCAUAUGGAGGUUCCCAGGCUAGGGGUCUAAUCAGAGCUGUAGCGGCUGACCUAUACCACAGCUCACAGCAACGCCGGAUCCUUAACCCACUGAGCGAGGCCAGGGAUCGAACACAAAACCUCAUGGUUCCUAGUCAGAUUCCUUUCCACUGUGCCAUGACAGGAACUCCAAGGGAGAAGGGGAGGGAGUGGAAGGGACUGGGAGCUUGGGGUAAAUAGUUGCAGAAUGUUGCCUUUGGGAUGGAUUAGAAAUGGGAUCCUGCUGUGUAGCAUUGGAAACCCUGUCUAGUCACUUAUGAUGGAGCACUUAAUUUGAGAAAAAAAGAAUGUAUACAUGUAUGUAUAACUGGGUCACCAUGCUGUACAGUA
rnacentral:lncRNA from 1 species